UGGGUAAAGAUGGAAUGGAUGGGGGUGAGUCUUAUAAAGUUGGGACUUACACUAAGUCUACUGGACUGCAGUCUAGCUUCACACAGACAGUCAGACUUGAUGUAUGAUGCCACGCCUGUGCCCCCAUAGAUGCAGUGAGGGGAGCGGGGCAGGGAGCUGAUGAGCAUAGCUUCUUCAUGGGUGCCUUGGACUAGGGGAGCCUGAGAAUCUUGAAGUGAGAGGAAAACUAGGACGUUACUUUUCCUUUGUGGACCAGAGAAGUUCUCCCUUUUUUUGUUGACUGCCAUUUGCCCAUCAAUAAUCCCUUCAUUCUUCUUUUUCUAUCCCUGCCAUUUCAGAAGGUCCUUAUUAUCUGAAGAGAACUGGCACCAGAAAACUGCUUUAAGAGAGUCAACUUAAAACUGAAUCAGAUAUUUGAAACAAACAGUAAGAGAAAAAGCUAUUUUAAGAGAUUGGUAUUAGGACUAAGUCUUGAAAAGUUAAAAAUAAGCGGAAUUUAAAUUUGUCUUACAUUAUAGAAAAGAAACUUGGGAUAUGAUGCGCCAAUAUGUUACUUCUUAGAACAAAACUGCACGGUGACUUCUGCCACAGAAUCGUAAAGACAGUGAUUUUUGGUGUAAGCGUUCAAAGUUUCCCAAGGGCCUCUCUUAGCCUUUGGAUAUACGAACCAUGGUCUUCAAGAGGCUCCCUCUCAUGAAAUCACCUCUGUUGACUUUGACUUCCUUCGUCGUCAGCUAUUCAGCACAAGUGAACCACAUUGCAUUUGCGUUCUGUGAUACGUAGCAACCAAAGAGUGAGCCAGAAUAGAUGCUGAUGUUGAGGACAAAGCAUUAAGUGAUCACUUUUUUUGUCAGUGUUUUCAUGUUAUGAUGACAUGUGCUUCCUUGUGCAGCCUGGUCACCACAGAGACCCAGAAUGAUUACUGAAGUAAUCACGGACCCUUCCAUAUUAUGUUACAUCUAAAGCGCUCAGUACGGCUUAUUGGGCUUGAUAAUCAAACACACGUACGUGUGAAUGCACUUUCCUGGCACUUAACGAGGUUCUAGAACCCUGGGUAAGUUAAUCACAGAACCUCAAUCAAGUUCUUGAUAUGUAAUGUAGAGUAAUAAAACCAGCCUUUCAGACUGGUCAUGGAAAUUCGAGCCCAUGGAUAUAAAACUCCUGGGUACUACAUAGCACAUGCAAGUCAAAAUGAGAAAUGUUCCCUGUUAGGGUUCGUGUUGCAUUUGUGUGGUGCCUUCCGGUUUAUGUAAGACUCUCACGUUUAAUUCAGACUGAAGAACUGAAAUUUUAGGAAAAUCACUAAAGAUUUUUAAGGUCUACAGUGACCUGAGGAAUCUAAAUUUUGGAAGACUAUAUUCGGCGACCCUGUACGUCAUGGAUUAGACCACAUGAUUUGAUCACCAUUUCCUUCAUGCUGUAGGUGGGAACAGUGAGGCCCAAGGAAAUUACACAACUUUCUCAGGAUCACAUGGUUUGUAUCUGGCAGAGGUCUACCUAGAACCCCAUCUUCUUACUCCUUAACUGUGUUUUCCCAUCACAUAGUUGCUCAUUGUCAAGAGAACCAAUUAAAAAGGCCACUGUACUUGUCCAGGAACAGAGGUCCACCAUGUUUAUUGGCAGUGGGAAAGGGAGGGGGAGGGAAAAGGCAGUGGUCAUUGAAAAUGGGUGCUUUUUUACCAGGCUCCGUGAAGAGGGGAGUCAGAGGCUGAGCUUGCAAACUUGGCUGGAUGGCCAUACAGUUAAUUAAAUUAAAAUAAGUAGAAUUUGUUGGUUUUGGUUUUGUUGCUUCCUAACAAGUUUAAAGGGACCGCCCCAUCCAGAUGGAAAUAGGUAGGGUUAAAAGUAGGAGAAAUCACCAGUGCUGAAGACAUAAAUUUGAGACCAAAAUGCCAAAGCAGGAGCAUUGAAACAGUUUUUGUCUCUAUAUGUGAAUAUAUGCACCUGGACUUUGUGACAUAUUCUCAGUUUGAGACCAGCCCACAUUGUUGUAAUUUCCUGCCCAGUUAUAAUCACUAACUGUUGUACCUUCAUCAGAAAGAAUUGUCCCCAUAGAUUCUUCUGCAUUUGUGUGUUUGUUUUGUUGGAUGGCUCCUGCUGUGGCACCGAGAGACAGACUUUGCCGGGCCCUGUUUUAUAAACAAAUCUGUUCGUGCACACUUUUCUUCUAUCAUUGUGUGUGUACAACUGUCUCUGCUUUUCCCUCUAGACACACGGAAGCCCAGGAAGUUAGAAGCUUGUUUUCUUUUAGAACUAUGCAGGCAUCAAAGAAAAAUGUGUCCAUGCAUUAAACAUGUACACAUCUAUCCUGUGUAAGGUUUUGAAUCUUCACUAUUUUAACUCCAGGCAGUGACCUCUCCAAGCAUACAUUGCAGCCCACUAUACACACAGUAGCCCUGAAAGACAUCCUUAAAGCUGCCACAAAACUUUUGAUUAAGCUCAGUGAAUAAAGCUCUUUUUACUUUUAAAGUUCAUUCUGUGGACCAUAAAUGGGACUAGUCACCCAAGAUGAUGAAAGCAUAAUGCUGAAGGAUAAUUCGUCCCUUGCUUAGAUUGGAAAGUGAACUUAUAAUAAUAUAUAUUCAUAUGGUCACUUCCUACCUGUAGAGUUUGUGUGUGUGUGUGUGUGUGUGUGUGUGUGUGUGUGUGUGUGUGUGUGUUUUAUUUAAUAUUCCAGUCAAGUUCAAGUUUUUAUGACAGGAAGUAUGUGAAUGGUUAUGAUAGGAGCAAAUAACACUUGAUUUUAUGAUUAUAUAGUGCAGGAAGUAACUUUUCAUGCCAAGUAAAUCUUUGGGGGAAAAAAGUGCCGGCUUAUAAAUCUAACGUACGUAAGUUUCCCAGAAUCUUUGCUCUAUUAAGUAGAAAUGACACCAGCAUGUGGUCUUAUUUCUUCCUUUUCCUAACUUUUCUUGUCGAUAAAUGUCUCUGUUUUAGGAAUGGGCAUUUUCCGGUAUUUUGGUGUGACCCAACAUGACCCAGAACCACUCAAAAAGUUCUAAGUGAAUAUAUAAUAGGGCCAGACUUGAUGGAAUAUAUAGCAUGAAAAGCUUGAAGGCACUGAAUAGGAAAGUUCUUUUUCCAUGAAGAGUAAAUGGCCAAGUCCUCACUCGCCAUCAAAGCAGAGGAGUCCCCUAACUUCUCUUACUCGUGGGGCCAUCCAUGUUCAGUAAGCAAGUGGGAAAGACAGUUUGUUUAACAUCCAAGAGUCUGUAUAUGAGCAGGUUUAAGAGAAAAGAAAGAAUUGGGUAGAACUUCGGGUAUGUUCCUCACCGGCAGACCUUUAAUGGAGGCUUUUGUUUUUAAUAGUGAUGAUGAUGAUGAUGAUGAUGAUGGAAAGAAAAGAUGAUUUUUCCUCAUCUUCCUCUUUUCUUCUUAAAGCCUGAGGGACUUAUAGUGAGAAGAAAGUUUAUAACUGAUGCUUGUUCUUAGGACCGACCGGUAUUACACACACAUGCAUCACAUGAGUGAAUGGAUGCCAGUUAGUCAGAUAAGAAUACCCGAGAAGUGUCUCAUAAUUCCGCGUGCCUCCACAGCCCCUGUGGGCUGUGACACAGUGACACAGCACCACUGAGGGAGUGACUGGGUGGAGAUUCAAACUUUAACCCUGUAACCGUGAGCCUCCCUUAACUACACUGAUUGAAAACACAGUGUCUAAAUACCUUUUACCUCUAAAACUUAGUAUCACAGAUUUUGCAAAGAAGUAGUUUGCAAUUUUAUGAAAACAAAUGUAUUAGAGUUACCAGUACUUGGUUGUCCUUAAUUUCCUUUAAAUCCGGUAGAGAAAAUAUUUGCAUGUGGCCUGAUGAGAAAUCUGCCUCAAGGAAUAGUGCACAAGGCAGUUUCCCGAGUGCUAUUUUACUUCACGCGCACCCAGCCUGGUGUGACUGGUGGGCAUCCCCGUGGAAGGCUCCAGAGCAGAGUGGUCAAGGUCAGGCUCCCUGGUUUUGAAUCUUGAAUCCUGGCCCCACCACCCACUGAUGGUGUGACCCUGACCAGGUCUGUAAAGGCCCAGAGGCUCAGUUUCCUUGUGUGUAGGCCGGGGAUAGUGAUGGAAUUCAGGGUUGCGGUGGGAAUUCAGCGAGUAUGUGUACAGCUCGUGGUAGUGUAAGCCAGCCCUGUAUGUCGUUUUGCCUUUACCACUGAUGAUUAAACUGGGUGAAAGGGGUCGGGUGACCCGAACCAGAGCAAAGCAUAGCCAGAGGAAGAGCCGCAGCUCAAACACAGGCCUUCUGUGUGCCCUCCCCAUGCGAGGCCGCCCCCCCCUCCCUUUCUGUAAAAGUGCUACUAAAGAGUGCACUCCUUUUCACUGCUUAAAAGAAAACUUGGAGUCAGGUUAAACGUAAAAACAUUUGUCACAGGGUUUUAUUUUGUUUGGGAGGAGCGGGGCAGGGGAUGGCGGGCCCAGAGAUCUGGAGAGUGAACACUGAUCUAUAAACUUGGACCUGAAUGAUGUCUGCAGCACACCAGCUGGCAGCAAGACCUGGGUAGUCUGUGUGGUUCAGUCACGUUCAAAAUACCCACCCUGAGAAGUAAUCCCCUUAGCACCCCCAGCGCACAGGAGUCCUGACAGGCGGCAGCUUCUUGGGGGCAGCACAGCUGGAGGGUCCGUGUUCUGUGUGCUGUUCCCCCCCAAGCACGUAUUUUGUAUUUCAUGGUCUUUAUUCUGUGUUGCUCUACUUUUCCUUUCUUUUCUUAAAACAUCCGCAUUGGCCACCCAGGCCUUAAGAGAGAGAUUCCUGUGAAGCACAGUCUGAAAAGGAAACCAAGGCACAGAAGCUUUGAGAGCUCUGGGCAUGUGUGUGACUAAGGCGCAGUGUGAGAGAGAAGCUGGUGUUUUAGUGAGCGAGGACAGUAACCUGUUCUGACACUUGAGUAGUUGUCAGGCCUCUAAUCACUGCUUUUUUUUAACAUUUAUUAUUUUUGAGAGAGAGCGCAAGUGUGGGAGGGGCAGAGAGAGAGGGAGACACAGAAUCCAAGGCAGGCUCCAAGCUCUGAGCUGUCAGCACAGAACCUGAUGCGGGGCUUCAACCCACGAACCGUGAGAUCAUGACCUGAGCUGAAGUUAGGUGCUUAACCGACUGAGCCACCCAGUUGUCCCCCUCCCCCUUUUUUUUUUUAAUCUUUUUUAAUGUUUAUUUAUUUUGGAGAGAGAGACAGAGCACAAGCAGAGGAGGGGCAGAGAGAGAGGGAGACACAGAAUCCGAAGCAGGCUCCAGGCUCCAACCUGUCAGCACAGAGCCUGACGUGGGGCUCGAACUCCUGAACCGUGAGAUCAUGACGUGAGCUGAAGUUGGAUGCUUACCCGAUUCAGCCAUCCAGGUGCCCCUUCCCCCCAUUUUUUUCAAUAAUUUUUUUUAUUAUUUUUAUUUUUGAGAGAGAGAGAGAGAGCGUGAGCAGGGGAAGAGCAGAGGGAGAGGGAGACAGAGGAUCUGAAGCAGGCUCUGCAGUGACUACAGAGAGCCCGAUGCAGGGCUCGAACUCACAAACCACACGAGAUCAUGACCUGAGCCAAAGUUGGACGCUCAACCGACUGAGCCACCUAAGUGUCCCAUCAUUGCUCCUCCUUUCACCAAGCUUAGUAUUGAUAGGAUUUUUUGAAGUUGUAGAUACUUAAAACUAUUCUCCCUGUAAUGGGUUCCUCUUCUUUUGACAUUAUACAGAAUGUUCCUCUUGCUGUUGAGGAGGCUCAUAAGGUCUUAGGAGUGAGGGCAGAGGAUAGACUCUUAUGUUGUGUUGUCGUUUUGGAUAGAAUUCUUAACAUCAAUUAUUGAUGCUGUUUUUACUCGUUCUCAAUUUGAAGAUUAUAUUCAUAUCAUGCAAAUGGUUCCCUACUGUUCUUUUUAAAAUACCAGUUUGAAGGGCACUUGGGUGGCUUAGUCAGUUGAGCAUCUGACUUCGGCCCAGGUCAUGAUCUCCUGGCUUGGGUGUUUGAGCCCUUCGUCAGGCUCAGCACUGACAGCUCAGAGCCUGGAGCCUGCUUGGGAUCCUGUGCCUCCCUCUCUCUCUGCCCCUUUCCUGCUCACAACUCUGUCUCUCUCUCUCAAAAAUAAAUCAAAAACGUUUAAAAAAACUAAAAUAAAAUAAAGUAUCAGUUUGGCAAAGAUUAUAAAAAUAUAUCGCAUUAGUGAACAUUGGCUUCCAAAGCAUAAAACACAAUGGCUUUAUUAAAAAAUCUUCCCAUGUGUUUUCCAUGUUUACCUUGAGUAUUCAAAACCAAGAAGAGUCGGGAUAAAAGUGGCAGAGUGCCACCACAUUAGAAAUCACGGGCUGAAGGUGCUGGGUCACAACUGUCCAUUCAUUGGUCUUUAGUCUUGAGUUUGCACUAAGUGGAAGCUGGUAUUUUUCUCCUCAUACCUUCAGGAGCCCCGCCCCCUCCCCACCACUUCCACCCAAGACAGAAGCACAUUAGCAACCUGAAAAUAAAGGACAGACUUUUUUUUUUUAAUUUUAUUUAUUUAUUUAUUUAUUUAUUUAUUUAUUUAUUUAUUUUAGAGAGAGAGAGUGUGUGAAGUGGGGAGGCACAGAGAGAUAGGGUGACACAGAACUCGAAGCAGGCUCCAGGCUCCGAGCUGUCAGCACAGAGCCCGACGCGGGGCUUGAACUCACGAACUGCGAGAUCGUGACCUGAACCGAAGUUGGAUGCUCAACUGACUGAACCACCCAGGCGCCCCAGAGGACAAACUUUUUUAAAGCCCCUCUUUCAGCACAGUAUCUACUAGUCCCAUCAGAAAAUGGUCUCUGUCAGCAUUGGAACUCUCUAGGAUAAAAGCAGUUUUUUUUAAAUUUGCCCAGUUGUUAAGAAAUUCUGUUCCUCUCUGACAUAAAUGAUCAUGUUUGGCUGAAGCCAAGAGAAAUACAAAAUGUCGUAUUUUAGCCCUACAUGACCAGUUUUCAAAGGGUGCUUUGGUGUGAACGCCACAUGGCCAUCCUGUUAAUGUGAUGGAUGGGAUCUUACAAAUAACUAUUUUUCUGCCCCCAUCAUCAACAAAUCUGAAAAACUUCUCUCUUUCCACAAACCCUAGGGAUGGCCCUCAGAGCCUGGGGUCUUCCGUGUCUCAGUGCCCAGUAGGAGAGAAGAUUUCCAUAUUCGAAAUUUGGGGACAAGUGAAAAUAACUCUGUCUCUCCUUGAAGGGUUAAUGCUCCAACCAGCUCUGGAUUGGUUCGCUCGAAUCUUAAAAUUACUUUUCUGGUCACGCGCACUGAAGGUCUAAGCAUUUGUGAAAUGUCUUUUUUUUCCCCCCCUUCUUUCUCCUGAUGCUGUUCUCUUGGCUGUCUUAAUUACACAGGGGUUGAGAAACCAAAUUAAAAUUAGGCGUGGCUGGUAAACAGUGAUCACGUUGCAUGCUUUUAGUUUUGCGUGUUGGAGUUACUUCUCGUCCCUGUGUUGCUUGCCUCCCACUUUUUUUUUUUUUUUCCCGAAGGAAAUAUCAUAAGCUCUUUUAGAAAUACUCACAGGAAGUGAGUAUCCAUAUGCUGGUUUCUCGCCAGCGACUGAGCGUUGACAGGUGGAGAAUAGGGCUGCAGCCCUCCCAGAUUUAUUUGCACAUUUCCACCAGAGCAGAGGAUUAAUUCAGGGUGUGAUAGACCAAAGGGGUUUUGUAGAGCCAGGGAGUCAUAAGAGGAAAUUGGUCAGUACGCGUCAUCUCGAGAGGGAGGGUGAUUCAGGUUGCUGCGGUGGGGUCAGCAAGGCACGUGGCUGCUGUGUCUGAGGGUUCUGCUCGCUGCUCCGAGGGCAGGCUGCCUUCUAAAAAUGAAUGCUCCCUCCACCGCCAACAGCGAUUCUUUCGCAGUGAAUCACUUCCAGAAAUGAAUAGCCACAGUUUUUCUGGAAUGAACGUUGUGAAAUCCCUCACUCAUAAUGGCAGGUUUUCAGUUGGUGGUUUUAUCAGAAAUUUCUCAAGAUCAAAACGAAACCUCCUCUUUAAAAAGAAAGAAAGUACUCUCGAUACAGAAAGCAAAAGUAUUUCCAGUCUCUUCACGAAGAACUGUCACAGAAGAUCUCCGUACCUGUGUUUAGAGACACACGUCUGUGUAUUUUGCCUGAAACGCGUGAGUUCUCAGAAUUAAUGGAUUCGUUGCCGGUGGCUGGUGGUUUCUGAUGCAGAAGGUCGCUAACUAGAAGAAAUGUUCUGUCCGGUGAGUAGGUGGUAGAUUCCGAUGAUUUUUGCUAAACCAGUGUUCAUGGUCUUGAGUUGUGGAUUCAGAAGACUGCCAGCAAGCUCUUAAAUGCUACUGCUUUAUAUGAUUUAGUGGAUGGAACCACAGGAUUCACAGAAGCCUGUGAAGCGUUUUUCAGAAUGUGGAGUAACUGAAUAACCAUUGGAUUUUUUUUAUUUUUAUUUUUCUGAGUUACACUAGUCCUUUUGAGGAGGAAAGGAUGUUUUACAGAAGGAAGCGGUUUGUGGGGGGCUUUUAGAGCUACAGCUACUGCUCUUCUAUAUGUAAAGUACUGUUCUGCCCUCUUAGAAGAUAGAAACAAAUGUACGGUCUCAACAGAGAAAAAGUUAUGGCAGCUCUUUUUAAAUGAAGAAACUUCAUCCACGUCUUACUCCUAACUGGAUUUUUUUUUUUCCUCCUCAAUACUCACAAGGAGAAACUGGAAGAAGACUAACCUUCUGGCAGUGCCUGCGAUAUGUCUCAUUCAGAACCCGGACAAGACCAGCCCGUGCUCCAGAAUCCUCUGUGCACUGCUCAGUGAUCCAUAAAGGCUGAAUCUGAAUGCAUUUGGAGGUUAGAGGUCAGAUGAUUCUGCCGGAAUCCAUUCCACUCAAAAGAAUGUCUCGACUCUCUGGGUUUGGCAUGCAGUUUGGAGAAAGAUAAUUUUUUUAAGGAGAGAAGUUUUAUUUACUCCUUGACCUAUGGGGUAUGGGAGGACUCACCUUUUGGAUAAAGGUUGCAAAAAAAGCCUCUAUCAGGUGAACAUACUGAGAGGUUAAUAAGGAUUCAACACCCAGUGACGUGUGGCCAGCCUUUCAGGAAGCUGUGUUAUUGGAUCAGUGUGACAGCAUGAAGCAUCGAAGCCGUUAGAAGUUACUUGGGAAAUACUCGGGCCCUGAUGAGUUAAAAAGGCAGAGACAUCCAGUAAGUGAGUUCCCGCCUGGGCACGGGUGUGUUUAUCCUGCCCUUCAGAAGUCAGAGCCAACAUUCUUAAUGGUUUUGAAUGAUUCAGAAUGUUUCUCUCUCUCUCUCUCUCUCUCCCUCUCCGCACACGGGUUAUGACUGAAACUCCUUAGGUGAGGUCCACAGCAGAAACCAGCCUUAUACUUAAUGUCGUGUUUUAUAAUCAUCUUACUUAGAGCAAGAGGAAAAUGAUCAAAUACAGCUUCCUUGUUUCAGGGAGAAGACCAAGGCAUGGGGGGGUUGGUCGUCUGGAGGCCACAGAGCUGGAAGGAGAGUUGCCAGUCUGAGCCCGGCCUCAUUCCUCUGACCACACAGCCCUUUGUCCAAACCUUGGGGGGAGGCUCCAGCAGGCCUUUGGCCUCCCGGCCAGGAGAGGCCGCUUGCCCUUUGAGGAAUGUUUAGAAAACUACUUAGGUCAGAGCAGAGAACUUCAUUUUUUACAAAAUGAAACAAAUCAUUUAUUUGACCUAAGCAGCUUUUUCAAAAUCUCUUUUGUCAGUGUUGUGAAUUUAUUAGCUUCUGGGCAGAAAUAAGAAUAACAUUUCUAUUUCUAUCUCCGUGCCAGAGUAGGAGACCUGAUCUGUCUCUCUCUCUCUCUCUCUCUCGCUCUCUCUCUCCUUCUUUUUUUGGAUGAGAAUUAACUUAUGUCGCACUAGAUCUUAAUAAAACAAACUUUGAGUCCUUCCCACAGGAGAAAGAAUUGAGCAAUGUUCUGAGAACAUGUUGUACUCUUUUGGGUACCGAGUAAAUGUAAUAUUUAGAAGAUGCUCCAGAAGGCUUAAAAGUGCCCCUUGGUAAUGGAGUAAAGGGAGGGCAGUGGGGGCACAAUGGGAAAGAGAAGCUGGACAGACCGGAGGAGGAGGGCUUUGGGAGAGCAGCUGGAGCGCCGUCCUCCUGCCUGGGGGAGGACCUGAGGGUCCUGCAAGCCCCCAGGAAGGAGUCGUUUCCCCAUAAGCCAAAGUGGGAGCCGGCGGUCGGGGAGCCCCUCCCCCAUCCUGUCCCCAGCACGGUCAAGACCACUUCUUCCUCGGACUCCAUGCCACCUGCGCCAUCCAUAGGGGCCAGGAAAGCACGUGGCACGGGUCCCCGCGCUGACCACGCCGGCUGUCUCCCAGGGCUUCCCCAGGUGCCUAGAAAGAGGAAGGGGCCUUUAUUUGUGUAAGGGUCACAGCCUGAACCGAGAGACGAAAUAAUUUAAGGAAGAAAACGCCAGUCAAAGAGCGGGAAUUUGCACCAGAUCCCUGUCUGGGAGCCCUCCUGGGGGGCUGCACUGGCCCCGGGGUGGCAGGCAGGCAACUGUCAUUUAUCACUUUGUUACAUUAAUGGCAUGGUUAUCACAAAAGGUGUUUUGCCCUAAGGACGUAAAGCAAAAUAUAUCCUAAGUGAAGGAUCCCCAGCGAGAUCUUUGCAUGGAAGGAACUGUUUCUUAGUCCUAGUAACAUCUAGUGCCAUGCUGGCCAGGCCCCCCGGAAACCAUGUGGAGGAAAAAUCUUCUCAUGUUUAGCUUCUAGCAUGAUCCCGGAGAUAAGUAACAAUGCAUUUUUCCGUCUCAUCACCCUCAUUCCCUUCACUGUUAAGGUAGACCACUUAUUUGUAAAGAGCUAGUGGGGAGAGGCGUUUGGCUGUAUUGGGGCCCUGUGGCCUUUCCCAGGGGUCACUGUUGCAGGGAGGUGGGGCUGUGUCAUGUGCCGCACAGACGUGAGCGCACCUUGGCACGCGCGCACACACACACACACUCUCUCUCUCUCUCUCUCUCUCUCUCUCUCUCUCUCUCAAUCUCCGGGGGUUUUCUUCUUCUUGCUUUGUUGUAGUUGUGUAUACUUAACAAGUUACAAUCUAGCAAGUGUUUCAAAUUGAAGCCAUGGGUAAAAUUUUCCUAACAGAAGAUUACACAGUAAGCUGGAAAAAUGAAAUAGGAAGCAGCUUGUGUUGUUUUCUUAGGAUUUUCGUGUUCGCUUUGGAUUAGCAUGCCCCUCACCCGCCCUCGCUGUUGCUCAGGGUGGUGCCGUGUUCACAGGCUUCUUACGCGGGGUUCAGAGGGCUGGGGAGAGGGUGUGAGGGCGCGCUCCUCCCCUGCUGCUGUCUCUGGUGGUCCUGGAGAAUUCCCCUGCACUUGCAGGCAUAUGGGAAGGUCUCAGCGGUGCCCGUGAAAGUCCCGCCUCCGCUUCACCUCUGCGAGUGUAACUCAGCAUCCCGGACACGCUCGGCCCCCUCUGGACUCUAAAGGAUGGGAGUCGGUCCUUCUAAACAGUAAACAGGACUCCUGUCCCGCUGAAGGGCAUUGUACAGGGGAUCGUUCAGUCUGUUCUGUCCCCAGCCAAAACUGCAUUCCAGACAAAUGGACCCCUUCAUUAAGGCACCCUGAGAAAGGGACUCCCGGCCUCUCCAGGAAACCCACAGGAAAUGACCACACCCAUGCCCAUUCCUUUGUGGAGAUGGAGAAUGGAAGGACCUUGGGAGGGCUUCUCCAGACCCCAGAUCUGGUGCCUCCCUGUGGCUCCCACAGAGCCUGCAGUUUCCUUUUUGCUGGUACGUGUCCCAUCGUCCUAAUGCUGUCUACUUAUUUGUCUGUAUCCCUGCCAGCCUGCAAGCACCCGGAGGGCUGGUGCCCUGUCCUCGCUCUGUGUCUCCAGUGCAGUGCUUCCCCCACACUAGGUCUUAACAGACACGUUUCUCCUGCUCUUCAUACGUGGUUUUUUUUUUUUCUCCUCUUGUGCCAACCCUGAUCUCAAAACUCACACCCUGUGUGAGUGCGGGGGGAGGGGGGAUACAUCUGUGAGUGCACCGUCUCUCUCUCUCUGUCCUGCAUCCAGUGUCACUUCAGGUCCCUUGCAGUCUAACUACCCAAAGGUCCCCCUAAAUGCAGGGGCUCCCCCAUUCUCCCCGACCUUCGCCUCCUGCUGCGUUUAACACGAUGUACCCUCCUCUCCCUGAAACCCCCUUUUGCCACCUGCCCAGGACACCUGUAGAGCCCAGCUCAGGCCCCUUUCCUCUGCAAAGCCCUGGACCUAGUUAGCCUGUCCCAACCUCAUCUCAUCCUAAAUGACUCUGGUCCUCUCUGUUAGCGUGACCUACUUCAGCACGGGGUUUGUCCCUAUGUAUUAAUUAGACUUCAUUCCGCAGUUAGAGUUUGAGGUCUCAUGCACAUCACCUACGUACCUAAUCUGGCGGUAUCCAGCAAGGUGCUUGGGCUCUUGGGAGGCAGUCUGUGAGUGCCACUUGAUGGGUUCUAACCCAUCUGUCUUUAUCAGUGGCGCUGAGCAGUGACUUGGUGGCUUUGCACCACUCUGGUGGCUACUCCCUCUGUGAGAUGUGUGACCGUCCCUGUGUGCAACCCACUCAACAUACUGGGGCUUCCCGCGUUUGCCCCAUUGCGUGCCACCUUCCCUCAGAGCCCGGUUAUGCCCCGUCGUCAUCUGUUUAUGUGUUUGCUUGCACUGGACUCACCUGCCUCGUUUGUACACAUACCUUCAGGGCCUCAUACAGCUCCUGGUAUAUCGUAAAUUGCAUGCGUCAAUGGUGUGUGAACAGGUAGACGGAAAUGUUGGAAUAUCCUCGUCCCAGUUUCCGAUUGUGUGUCUUUUCCCAGACUCUUGAAUCCCUGUUUGUGACGUCCUUGGCUUAUACGCCACCCUUUAAGUUGAGAGAAGCUCUCGACCCACAGCUUCUACGGACUGAUGCCCAAUGUUAUUUUAGUCUCUCGCACCAAAUCUAUCACACUGAUUGUAUAUACUUUUGGAUUUUUUUUUAACGUUUAUGAUUCAGAGACAGAGCAUGAGCAGGGGAGGGGCAGAGAGGGGGGGAGACACAGAAUACGAAGCAGGCUCUAGGCUCUGGGCUGUCAGCACAGAGCCAGACCUGGGGCUCAAACCCACAAACUGCGACAUCAUGACCUGAGCCCGUCGGACGCUUAACCGACUGAGCCACCUGAGCCACCCAGGCACUCCAGAUUUUUUUUUAAGUAGACUUCACGCCCAGUGCAGAGCCUAGCGCAGGGCUUGAACUCACUACCCUGAGAUCAAGCCUUGAGCUGAGAUCAAGAGUCAGACGCUUCACCGACUGAGCCACCCAGGCACCCUUGUAUUUUGGACGUUUUAUCCAAAAUGUUAGAUGUGCUGUUCCCUCCCAGGGGAGUAUGGGGAGUCGGGGUGGGAGAGGGGUUAACAUUUAUUUAAGGUCUAUGUACCAUGUGUUUUAUUUGGGUUAGUUAACCUUUUCCCCAACUCUAAGAAGUAACAUUAUUGUCCCUACUUCAUAUAUGAAGAAACUAAAGCUCAGAAAAGGAUAAAUCCCUUGUCCCAGCUGUGCAACAGGCGACUGAGGGAAAAUUUGAAUCCACGUCUUUCUGGCCCCUAACCUCAUGCUGCUUGCCUCUGCUUCCAGUCUAAAUGUGCCAUUAAAUGGGCAGUCACUUCACUGCCUAUGACAUUAAAAAGGCAGCGUGUAAGCAUAUUAAUUCGGACAAGCAGGUGCUCAUGAGGAAAGGCAAAGACCAGGAAAAGAUAUUUAUUGGUAGAUUUGAUUCUGAGCAGGGAUUGACAGAGGUCUGCUUCUAAGACCUUAAAGGUUCAGGGCGAUGACUCCUCUGGGGGCCCUCUGUGACCAAGGCUGUCAUAUUGAGAAGGCAUGUCGACCCUUGACUUCCUUUCAGGAAAGCCACAGGAGUCCCAGUGGUGAAGUAGGCGUGCUCCUUGCCUGUCACUCUCCCCUGUGGGGUAAGUUUGGUCCAGGCCUCAGCCCCGCAUUUAGAUUAGAACCACCAAGAGUCACUGUGGAAGGCACGGAGUCCAGUGCUCGCAAGGGGGUGUUAGUGGGAAGCUGAAAAUGGGCUUGUCAAGCUCCUAUCCUCAUAGUUGAGAAACCUUAUCACUAACUCAUUCAGUGUUCCUAGCCAGACCUUCCUGUGCUCUGGUCUUCGCAUCUGUAUGUGAUGUACAGACCUCUAAACCUUAGGAGGCUGUAGGUCCCAGUGCUCACAGGGGGCCACAGCAAGGAUGGGAGACACCUGCCCAGAACCAGGCUUUGUCAUGUACAUUUAUAGGACAAGGUUAAUUAAAGGAGGACUUCCCAGCACCUUGAAUGGACUACUCCACAUGCUUUUCCAAAUGCUGAAAAGCUCCAGAAAAACAGACUGGCACUCCUCACAGCCUGACACAUCUCUGUUUCUGCUGCAAAGGGAAAGAGCGCCUCCGUGACUUUGGUUCCUGUCCUCGUUUUUAUGAUCAGACCGUUGAGGAAACACGCUGUUAUUUUGUAAUAGUAUUUAAAUAUUUUCAGAAUCGUGUGUGAUCUAAUAGUCCACGGUGGUUUGAAUUUUAUGUUUACCCUGAUCUUCCUUCUCAUCUGUACCCCUCAGGUUGAAUUUUUUUAGAUUCAUUUUUCUGUUGUUUGACAGUAUGGAAUAGAACUAUGGCCUUUCUUGACCAUUUCGCUUACUUGUCAAGGUGCUCUUGGAGUUCAGGCCCAGCUCACAAGAAUGUGCCCCACAUAACAUGUCCC